GUGAGGCUUCCCCACAUCCCAGCACAUCCACGAACGUGCCUGUGGGGUGUGCGAGAAACGCUCACAUCCCUGAUGUUCCACCAGGCACAGCUCUCAGUGCAGCAGCAAAGCUCAUUCCUGAUUGCUGUGGCAUUACUGCACUCUCUUCUGUGAGCUCCUUCUGCUCCUGUAGCUCUCCUCCCAUGGCACCCACUGCUCUCCUGUUCCCCCUUGGCUGGGCACUGCAGGCUCACAGUCUCCACCAAGCAUCCGGUGUGCAGUAUUUCCAGAGGAGGUCUAUGGCCAACGUGUUCCUUUCGGGCUGAUUGUGUGCUUUUCUAUGCAGACAGGCAGGCAGGAUUUCGUGCAGCUGUUGCACGUGCUGGGUCUCAUGCUCCGUCCUGCGGCUGUGCCUUAUCUCGUGUGCACUCUCCAUCCUCCCCCUGGUCAGAACGUCCUGGCCCUGCUGUGCUCUGCUCAGCAUCUGUCUGCUGAACGACGACACAGCCGUCACACUGAGCCUGCCUUGUGCUAUCCCUGCAGAUGUUGGAUGAUUUCCUCUGCCACUCUCCCACCCGUAAGCGCCCGGGUGAUUCCCAGCAGCACACAGCUGGCACACAGAGCCAUGCUGACCACGGCAGGGUGCAGCUUCUUGUUGCAGUCCCGUAGCGGUGGGUGGCCGUGCCAAAGGGGGAUCCCACCGCUGCUGCUCUCCAUCCUUCUGCGCUCGUUCUGCACCACCGUGCAUUCCAUCCUUCCUCCUCGUGCUGCGCUGACCAUUUCUCGGGGUCGUUGCAGCAGCUGCUGCAAGUGCUGAUGUUGGAGCAGUUUCUUCCCCACCGCGAGAUCCCUUCCAAGAGGCACUGCCCCUACUGCUGCAACGGCCCCAGUCUGGGACGCCUUUUUGUAAGGAGUUGUGUUGUUUGUUCUGCAGCUGACUUGGAUUUCUUCUCCCACUGUCCCGUGAAGGAGUUGAUUUGCUUCAGUCCAUCCCUGUUCCAUUCCUGGCUCGGGUAUCCCUCGUGGCCAUGCAGCACCGCAGCAGCAAAGCUCCAAUCCCUUCCCCGGUCUCAGUGGGUUCAGUUUGUUCUGUUCUCAUCCACUUACAGAAACAGAAGCUACCAAGCCACCAAACCCUGGGACAGGUAUUUCCCUACAGAAGCAUUCAUGUCCUUCUCCUGGCCCCUUUGGCCAAUUCCCAGCUCUCCAAACUGAGGCGUAUGGCUGCAGCCCUCCCCAUGGCUUCUUUGGGGCAGCUGUGGGGCAGCCUCACCCCGAGAAGGAGAUGCCUUUUCCCCACACGCAGCUGGUUCUACGUCCACAUGAGGUGACAUGCUGUUUCUAUGGCAUGAAAACAUGCUGUUUCUAUGGCAACAUCAGGUGAGGACAUGGGGUCGUGGGUCACAUGGGGGUCCUGCAGGGUCACAGAGUUACGGGGUUAUGUGUGGCUAUGGGUUUAGAUGGGGUUUCGAAUCACAGUGAUAGGGUCAGCUUGGAUGGUAGGGUCAGAUGGGGUGACAUGGAGUUACGGAUCACAUGGGUGGUAUGGUCGGGGUGAGGUGGGGGCAGGAAUCCCAGAGUUAUGGGCCACAUGGCGUCGGGUCAUAGCGUGAUGGGGGCAGGCAGAGUCAGGGAGUCACAGGAUCAUGUGGGGGUAUGGUUCCCCCAGGGCUCUGGGUCACGUGCAGCCAUGGGGUCACGCACAUAGAGGGCGAUGAGGUCAUCUUGGUUUAUGGCUCAUGUGGGGUUACGGCUCAGGGCCCCACCUUUGGGCCACAGGGACACCCAGUCCCCUCUCAGGAUGAAAUGAAACCACUGCAAACUCUGCCCCCUUCCUCUUUUUACCUCAAACCACUCCCCACAUCCUCCCAUACUCUCUAUGUCCCCAUACUACCCCAUACCCCUGUGUCCCACCUGCAGCCCACGUCUUGUCUUCUCCUGAACAGCAUUCUGCUCCUGCAGCCUGUGUUCCCACAUCCCUUAAUGUCCCUAUAUCCACCAAACACACCCCCAGAGAGCCCUAUAGCUCCUCAAGGACCUUCUCAGACUCAGCACAUCUCCCCCACAGACAAGCUGGGCCAUCACAGGCUCCUGCAGUCCCCAGCAGCAGCCCACAUCCCCCUCUGAGCUCCCGCUGAAACCCCUUGUUUUCUUCCUCACACCUCCCUUACCCCCUCAGUCCUCUCCUGGGAUCUCAGAGUCCAACAGUCCGUGACAGGUCCCCCAUUACCAUCCCAGGAUCCCCAUAGCCCACCAACGAAGAACCCCGCAGCAAUCCACAUCUCAGGAUGGGGCUCCAGCUGUGCACCAAUGCGUUCAUUCAAGAGAGGAGAAUGAAUGAGCGUAAAGGGGGGCCUUUCCUCCUGAUGUUGCCCACCGCCUGCGUGUUGGCUGUGCCGUGCCAGCAGCAUUUUGUCCUCGAGCUGUGAGUGCAGGUAUGCGUUCAUACGGGGUUGUGCAGAGGUGGGGCUGAACAUCAGAGCAUGCAUUGCGCUUGGCUGUGUGCACAGUGCUUGCAGGUGAAAGUUUUGCAUCUGUGUGCAUGCACAUGGCAGUGUGCAAGGCUGGAGCAGUGCUCGAGUCUUCAUGCUCGUGGUUGUGCAGAGGGAUGGGGUGCACGCAUGUGAAAAGAUAGCAGGCACUGCAAAGGAAACAGCUCCAUCCCAUCUGGAGCAGUGACAGGUAGGCAGGCACUGGGGAGGGCUGCACGGCAGAGGGACGCCCUCUGAGUGCCACAACAUGGAGCGCUGUCUGCAAGCAGAACAGUGCCGGGAUGGCAGCCUGGUGGUCCUAAGCUGCAGAGAUGCUGCUCUGGACCAACAGCCUGUCAUUUUUUUCUCAGAAAACGCCGUCCUUUUGCUGAACUUUGCUCAUUGUACACCCGUCAUCACAGCAAAAAACGCUCAGUGCUGCCCUGGGAAACUCAGCAAUCUCCACAGCUGUUGCUCUCCAAGUUAGCACGCUCAUGGCCAGGCUGUGUUCCCUGCAGCUCUUUGCACGUGCUUUGCAGACAGUCUGUUUGUGGGCAGUGCAAAGGACUGCUGCCUCCGUUGCAUCACUGGACGGCAGCAUUCGCUGACGGAGCUGUGGCAGUUCUGAGCGAGUGCCGCGAGACCAAUAACGAGGAGGUGGUGCAGCAGCUCUCCGAGUGCCGCUGGACAAAUCAGGCCUUUCGCUACUCUGUGAAUCUAUAAAUUUGACUGGUUUUUAUUGACUACGUUUGAAGGUGGAGUGCUGAGAUGGGCGGCACUCAGCACUGCCCUGUAACGCCGCGCACUGCAGAAGCUGCUGCCUGCUGACGCUCCUCCUCUCAGUCCUUCAGCUGCAGCUUCUGCAUCAUCUCCAC
ensembl:lncRNA